rnacentral:rRNA from 1 species
AUGGCCAAAUUCUAGUGGAGUGGAUCUCUUGAUCGACGAUCUAUGCAUUGGCUAUCAUGGGAGAAACUUGCAUCACCGAAGUGUCAGGGAGGAAUGGGUUUUCGCGAUCUUGAGUUAUUCAACCUGGCACUACUUGGUAAGCAUGGAUGGAGAUUUAUUACUAAUCCUAACUCUUUAUGUGCCCAAGUGAUGAAGGGGCGUUAUUUUCCGGAUUAUAAUUUUAUGGAGGCUUCAGUACCACACACAUCGUCUGCUAUUUGGCGAGCGAUCAUCGCCGGAAGGGAAGCUCUCCAUGUUGGUCUCAUUAAGAGGGUGGGGGACGGCAGCACUAUCUCGAUUUGGGAAGAUAAGUGGAUCCCG